CUGGAAAUAAGUAGAUAAACCUGAGCCAAGAGGCAGAAAGGUGCCGCCUUUUUUAUUCAUCGGUGUUUGAGCUGGAAGCGGUGCGAUUCUGCGACCUUUAAAACGGCACCGGUUGGCGGAAAACAUUCCCAUCCCAUAUUUUUCGCACCGACAGAAAAAUGGCUUUCGCUUCCGCGCUCGACACGCCCAAGGGGCUUCACUUUCUACCGUUACCGUCUUCAUCCCGCCACGAACGGUCACCCACCAAUCUUGUUCUGCCACGGCACUUCCCGACUCGGUUCUCGUCCACCAUCGCCUUGGCUCGCCGCCGGAACCACCGCGCCGAAGUGGCGCCCUCAAGAACGAAGAUAAAGAAGAGAAGUUUGGGGAAUAAGGAAGUGAAGGAGGUGGAGGAGGAGGAUGUGGAUGAGGAUGCGAUUGAUGCGCUGUUUAGGUUGCUGGAGGAGGAUCUCAAGAAUGACGACGCGUCAUUUGACGACGAGGAUUUAACGGAAGAAGAGCUUGCUAAGCUCGAGCAGGAAGUGGCAGAGGCACUGGGAGUUGACGGUGAUGAUGAUGACGAUGAGGAAGAGGAGGAGGAGGAGGUUGAAGACGAUGACGGUGUUGUUGAGAGCUAUGCCGAAGAAGAUGAGGAGGUGGAGGAGGAAGAGGAAGAGGAAACUCCGGUGAAGCUGAAGACUUGGCAGAUGCGGAGAUUGGCUGCUGCUUUGAAAGUUGGUCGGCGCAAAACAAGCAUAAAAACUCUUGCAGCUGAGCUUUGUCUUGACAGGGCUGUUGUUCUCGAAUUGCUUCGUGAGCCCCCUCCAAGUCUUUUGAUCAUGUGUGCUGCUUUGCCUGAUGAACCUGCGACAGUGGUAUCUGUGUCCCAACCAAAUUCUGUAGAAACUGUUGUGGAAACAACUGGAGAAACCAUGGUGGAAACGACUACAGAUUCUGUAGAGCUUGAAAGUGCAGCGAGGGUGCCCGUUCAUGCCAGACAACAAAAGUUUUCUGCUCAAAAGAGGCUGAAGAAAGCACAGGUUGAAACCCUUGAAGGCGUUUAUAGAAAAACAAAGCGGCCCACUAAUGCGAUGGUCAGCAGCAUAGUGCACGUGACAAACCUGCCCCGCAAAAGAGUUGUGAAAUGGUUUGAAGACAAACGUUCGGAGGAUAGCGUUCCUGACUCUCGGCAACCAUAUCAGCGGCCUAUCCCCAAUACUGUCUUGUGAACCAACGUGUAAAUCAGGUACUUCAAUGUUGUUUAUAAUGACAUCUGAUAGGGUUUUGUCCCACCUCCUUUUCGUUUUUGUGGCAUCUGUGUUAGCCUCGGCUAGCUCGGUGAAGAAGGGGUGGCGAAAGAAUUUGGAUUAGGAUCAGAUUAGCUCGGUUUGUGGUUUCGAUCACAUCCGAUGUACCCAAAAGGAAUAUGAGUUGAAUGAAUUAUUAUCGCCUUCGUUCGAAAUGAUUUUAUUUCAGAAAUAUUUGACUUCU